rnacentral:rRNA from 1 species
ACACGACCGUACCGCAAACCGACACUGGUGCGCGAGAUGAGUAUUCUAAGGCGCUUGAGAGAACUCAGGAGAAGGUACUCGGCAAAUUGACACCGUAACUUCGGAAGAAGGUGUGCCUUUAGUAGGUGAAGUCCCUCGCGGAUGGAGCCCAAUGAGGUUGCAAAAAAUCGGUGGCUGCGACUGUUUAUUAAAAACACAGCACUCUGCAAACACGAAAGUGGACGUAUAGGGUGUGACGCCUGCCCGGUGCUGGAAGAUUAAAUGAUGGGGUGCAAGCUCUUGAUUGAAGUCCCAGUAAACGGCGGCCGUAACGAUAACGGUCCUAAGGUAGCGAAAUUCCUUGUCGGGUAAGUUCCGACCUGCACGAAUGGCGUAACGAUGGCCACACUGUCUCCUCCUGAGACUCAGCGAAGUUGAAAUGUUUGUGAUGAUGCAAUCUCCCCGCGGAAAGACGGAAAGACCCCAUGAACCUUUACUGUAGCUUUGUAUUGGACUUUGAACAGAUCUGUGUAGGAUAGGUGGGAGGCUUUGAAGCAGGGUCGCUAGAUCUUGUGGAGCCAACGUUGAAAUACCACCCUGGUGUGUUUGAGGUUCUAACCUAGGCCCGUAAUCCGGGUUGGGGACAGUGCAUGGUAGGCAGUUUGACUGGGGCGGUCUCCUCCCAAAGUGUAACGGAGGAGUUCGAAGGUACGCUAGUUACGGUCGGACAUCGUGACGAUAGUGCAAUGGCAUAAGCGUGCUUAACUGCGAGACUGACAAGUCGAGCAGAUGCGAAAGCAGGACAUAGUGAUCCGGUGGUUCUGUAUGGAAGGGCCAUCGCUCAACGGAUAAAAGGUACUCUGGGGAUAACAGGCUGAUACCGCCCAAGAGUUCAUAUCGACGGCGGUGUUUGGCACCUCGAUGUCGGCUCAUCUCAUCCUGGGGCUGUAGCCGGUCCCAGGGGUAUGGCUGUUCGCCAUUUAAAGAGGUACGUGAGCUGGGUUUAAAACGUCGUGAGACAGUUUGGUCCCUAUCUUCCGUGGGCGCUGCAGAUUUGAGGAAGCCUGCUCCUAGUACGAGAGGACCGGAGUGGACGCACCUCUGGUGUAUCGGUUGUCACGCCAGUGGCAUUGCCGAGUAGCUAUGUGCGGAAGAGAUAACCGCUGAAAGCAUCUAAGCGGGAAACUCGUUUCAAGAUGAGAUCUGCCGGGGCCUUGAGCCCCCUGAAGAGUCGUUCAAGACCAGGACGUUGAUAGGUCGGGUGUGGAAGCGCAGUAAUGCGUUAAGCUAACCGAUACUAAUUGCUCGUGCGGCUUGACCAA